rnacentral:rRNA from 1 species
GAUGAACGCUGGCGGCGUGCCUAAUACAUGCAAGUCGAGCGAACAGGCGAGGAGCUUGCUCCUCUGACGUUAGCGGCGGACGGGUGAGUAACACGUGGAUAACCUACCUAUAAGACUGGGAUAACUUCGGGAAACCGGAGCUAAUACCGGAUAAUAUAUUGAACCGCAUGGUUCAAUAGUGAAAGACGGUUUUGCUGUCACUUAUAGGUGGAUCCGCGCCGCAUUAGCUAGUUGGUAAGGUAACGGCUUACCAAGGCAACGAUGCGUAGCCGACCUGAGAGGGUGAUCGGCCACACUGGAACUGAGACACGGUCCAGACUCCUACGGGAGGCAGCAGUAGGGAAUCUUCCGCAAUGGGCGAAAGCCUGACGGAGCAACGCCGCGUGAGUGAUGAAGGUCUUCGGAUCGUAAAACUCUGUUAUUAGGGAAGAACAAAUGUGUAAGUAACUAUGCACGUCUUGACGGUACCUAAUCAGAAAGCCACGGCUAACUACGUG